GGCCACUGCUAUGGGGGUCCGACUAAGCCAUGCGAGUCAUGGGGCGCGCUCUGCGCGCACCGGCGGACGGCUCAGUAACACGUCGGUAACCUACCCUCGGGAGGGGGAUAACCCCGGGAAACUGGGGCUAAUCCCCCAUAGGCCUGAGGUACUGGAAGGUCCUCAGGCCGAAAGGGUCUUUGACCGCCCGAGGAUGGGCCGGCGGCCGAUUAGGUAGUUGGUGGGGUAACGGCCCACCAAGCCGAAGAUCGGUACGGGCCAUGAGAGUGGGAGCCCGGAGAUGGACACUGAGACACGGGUCCAGGCCCUACGGGGCGCAGCAGGCGCGAAACCUCCGCAAUGCGGGCAACCGCGACGGGGGGACCCCCAGUGCCGUGGCAUCGCCACGGCUUUUCCGGAGUGUAAAAAGCUCCGGGAAUAAGGGCUGGGCAAGGCCGGUGGCAGCCGCCGCGGUAAUACCGGCGGCCCGAGUGGUGGCCGCUAUUAUUGGGCCUAAAGCGUCCGUAGCCGGGCCCGUAAGUCCCUGGCGAAAUCCCACGGCUCAACCGUGGGGCUUGCUGGGGAUACUGCGGGCCUUGGGACCGGGAGAGGCGGGGGGUACCCCUGGGGUAGGGGUGAAAUCCUAUAAUCCCAGGGGGACCGCCAGUGGCGAAGGCGCCCCGCUGGAACGGGUCCGACGGUGAGGGACGAAGGCCAGGGGAGCGAACCGGAUUAGAUACCCGGGUAGUCCUGGCUGUAAAGGAUGCGGGCUAGGUGUCGGGCGAGCUUCGAGCUCGCCCGGUGCCGAAGGGAAGCCGUUAAGCCCGCCGCCUGGGGAGUACGGCCGCAAGGCUGAAACUUUAAAGGAAUUGGCGGGGGAGCACUACAAGGGGUGGAGCGUGCGGUUUAAUUGGAUUCAACGCCGGGAACCUCACCGGGGGCGACGGCAGGAUGAAGGCCAGGCUGAAGGUCUUGCCGGACACGCCGAGAGGAGGUGCAUGGCCGCCGUCAGCUCGUACCGUGAGGCGUCCACUUAAGUGUGGUAACGAGC
rnacentral:rRNA from 1 species